rnacentral:rRNA from 1 species
GACGAACGCUGGCGGCGUGCUUAACACAUGCAAGUCGAACGGAAAGGCCCUGCUUUUGUGGGGUGCUCGAGUGGCGAACGGGUGAGUAACACGUGAGUAACCUGCCCUUGACUUUGGGAUAACUUCAGGAAACUGGGGCUAAUACCGGAUAGGAGCUCCUGCUGCAUGGUGGGGGUUGGAAAGUUUCGGCGGUUGGGGAUGGACUCGCGGCUUAUCAGCUUGUUGGUGGGGUAGUGGCUUACCAAGGCUUUGACGGGUAGCCGGCCUGAGAGGGUGACCGGCCACAUUGGGACUGAGAUGCGGCCCAGACUCCUACGGGAGGCAGCAGUGGGGAAUAUUGCACAAUGGGCGGAAGCCUGAUGCAGCAACGCCGCGUGCGGGAUGACGGCCGUCGGGUUGUAAACCGCUUUCGCCUGUGACGAAGCGUGAGUGACGGUAAUGGGUAAAGAAGCACCGGCUAACUACGUG